GAUGAACGCUAGCUACAGGCUUAACACAUGCAAGUCGAGGGGUAACGAGAGGAAAGCUUGCUUUCCUUGUCGACGACCGGCGCACGGGUGAGUAACGCGUAUCCAACCUGCCCCCAACUAAGGAAUAACCUUGCGAAAGUAAGACUAAUACCUUAUAAUUUCCUCAGAUGUCAUCUGACGAGGAAUAAAGAUUUAUCGGUUGUGGAUGGGGAUGCGUCUGAUUAGCUUGUUGGCGGGGUAACGGCCCACCAAGGCAACGAGCAGUAGGGGUUCUGAGAGGAAGGUCCCCCACAUUGGAACUGAGACGCGGUCCAAACUCCUACGGGAGGCAGCAGUGAGGAAAAUUGGUCAAUGGGCGAAAGCCUGAACCAGCCAAGUAGCAUGCAGGAUGACGGCCCUAUGGGUUGUAAACUGCUUUUAUACAGGAAUAAAGUUAGCCACGUGUGGUUAUUUGUAGGUACUGUAUGAAUAAGGACCGGCUAAUUCCGUGCCAGCAGCCGCCGUAA
rnacentral:rRNA from 1 species